rnacentral:rRNA from 1 species
ACGAACGCUGGCGGCGUGCUUAACACAUGCAAGUCGAACGAUGAAGAAAAGAAUCGAAGCUUCGGCAGAAAUUCAUUUCGGAUUAGUGGCAGACGGGUGAGUAACGCGUGAGCAACCUACCUCUUACAAAGGGAUAGCCUCGGGAAACCGGGAUUAAUACCAUAUAACAUUGUGACGAAGCAUUUCGAUGCAAUCAAAGCUACGGCGGUAAGAGAUGGGCUCGCGUCCCAUUAACCGGAUGGUGAGGUAACGUCUCACCAUAGUGACGAUGGGUAACCGGCCUGAGAGGGUGAACGGUCACACUGGAACUGAGACACGGUCCAGACUCCUACGGGAGGCAGCAGUGGGGAAUAUUGCACAAUGGAGGGAACUCUGAUGCAGCGACGCCGCGUGAGUGAUGAAGGAAUUCGUUUCGUAAAACUCUGUUCUAUGGGAAGAAAAGGACUGUACCAUAGGAGAAAGCUCCGGCUAAAUACGUG